GUGCUCACUUCGGCAGCACAUAUACUAAAAAUUGGAAUGAUACAGAGAAAAUUAGCAUGGCCCCUGUGCAGGGAUGACAUGCAAAUUUGUGAAAAGUUUCAUAUUUCU
ensembl:snRNA U6 U6 spliceosomal RNA